ACCGGUCUCCGGUAGUGGCUCCCGGGCACCCCGGCAUCAUGCCGGCCAUCCGGGCGCUUCGAUCGAAGACCGGC
rfam:Micromonospora sp. CB01531 scaffold1, whole genome shotgun sequence.